rnacentral:rRNA from 1 species
UACGGGGGGUGCGAGCGUUGUCCGGAAUCACUGGGCGUAAAGGGCGCGUAGGUGGUUUGAUAAGGGUGUGGUGAAAGUCCGGGGCUCAACCCCGGAUCUGCCGUGCCGACUGUCAAACUCGAGGGCUGUAGAGGCAGACGGAAUUCCGGGUGUAGCGGUGGAAUGCGUAGAGAUCCGGAAGAACACCGGUGGCGAAGGCGGCCUGCUGGGCAGUAGCUGACGCUGAUGCGCGACAGCGUGGGGAGCAAACAGG